CCUACGGGCGGCAGCAGUCGAGAAUCAUUCACAAUGGGGGAAACCCUGAUGGUGCGACGCCGCGUGGGGGAAUGAAGGUCUUCGGUUUGUAAACCCCUGUCAUGUGGGAGCAAAUCAAAAAGAUAGUACCACACGAGGAAGAGACGGCUAACUCUGUGCCAGCAGCCGCGGUAAUACGGAGGUCUCAAGCGUUGUGCGGAAUCACUGGGGGUAAAGCGUGCGGAGGUGGUUUCGUAAGUCGUGUGCGAAAGGCGCGGGCGCAACCCGCGGACGGCCCAUGAUACUAUGGGACUAGAGUGAAGGAGGGGGAACCGGAAUUCUCGGUGUAGCAGUGAAAUGCGUAGAUA
rnacentral:rRNA from 1 species